rnacentral:rRNA from 1 species
CGGAUUGUAGUCUGCAACCCGACUACAUGAAGCUGAAAUCGCUAGUAAUCGCGAAUCAGAAUGUCGCGGUGAAUACGUUCCCGGGUCUUGUACACACCGCCCGUCACACCAUGGGAGUCGGAAAUGCCCGAAGUCAGUGACCUAACCGAAAGGGAGGAGCUGCCGAAGGUGGAGCCGGUAACUGGGGUGAAGUCGUAACAAGGUAGC